rnacentral:rRNA from 1 species
UAGAGUUUGAUCCUGGCUCAGAUUGAACGCUGGCGGCAGGCCUAACACAUGCAAGUCGAACGGUAGCACAGAGAGCUUGCUCUCGGGUGACGAGUGGCGGACGGGUGAGUAAUGUCUGGGAAACUGCCUGAUGGAGGGGGAUAACUACUGGAAACGGUAGCUAAUACCGCAUAACGUCGCAAGACCAAAGAGGGGGACCUUCGGGCCUCUUGCCAUCAGAUGUGCCCAGAUGGGAUUAGCUAGUAGGUGGGGUAACGGCUCACCUAGGCGACGAUCCCUAGCUGGUCUGAGAGGAUGACCAGCCACACUGGAACUGAGACACGGUCCAGACUCCUACGGGAGGCAGCAGUGGGGAAUAUUGCACAAUGGGCGCAAGCCUGAUGCAGCCAUGCCGCGUGUAUGAAGAAGGCCUUCGGGUUGUAAAGUACUUUCAGCGGGGAGGAAGGUGUUGUGGCUAAUAACCGCAGCAAUUGACGUUACCCGCAGAAGAAGCACCGGCUAACUCCGUGCCAGCAGCCGCGGUAAUACGGAGGGUGCAAGCGUUAAUCGGAAUUACUGGGCGUAAAGCGCACGCAGGCGGUCUGUCAAGUCGGAUGUGAAAUCCCCGGGCUCAACCUGGGAACUGCAUUCGAAACUGGCAGGCUAGAGUCUUGUAGAGGGGGGUAGAAUUCCAGGUGUAGCGGUGAAAUGCGUAGAGAUCUGGAGGAAUACCGGUGGCGAAGGCGGCCCCCUGGACAAAGACUGACGCUCAGGUGCGAAAGCGUGGGGAGCAAACAGGAUUAGAUACCCUGGUAGUCCACGCCGUAAACGAUGUCGACUUGGAGGUUGUGCCCUUGAGGCGUGGCUUCCGGAGCUAACGCGUUAAGUCGACCGCCUGGGGAGUACGGCCGCAAGGUUAAAACUCAAAUGAAUUGACGGGGGCCCGCACAAGCGGUGGAGCAUGUGGUUUAAUUCGAUGCAACGCGAAGAACCUUACCUACUCUUGACAUCCAGAGAACUUUCCAGAGAUGGAUUGGUGCCUUCGGGAACUCUGAGACAGGUGCUGCAUGGCUGUCGUCAGCUCGUGUUGUGAAAUGUUGGGUUAAGUCCCGCAACGAGCGCAACCCUUAUCCUUUGUUGCCAGCGGUCCGGCCGGGAACUCAAAGGAGACUGCCAGUGAUAAACUGGAGGAAGGUGGGGAUGACGUCAAGUCAUCAUGGCCCUUACGAGUAGGGCUACACACGUGCUACAAUGGCGCAUACAAAGAGAAGCAAACUCGCGAGAGCAAGCGGACCUCAUAAAGUGCGUCGUAGUCCGGAUUGGAGUCUGCAACUCGACUCCAUGAAGUCGGAAUCGCUAGUAAUCGUAGAUCAGAAUGCUACGGUGAAUACGUUCCCGGGCCUUGUACACACCGCCCGUCACACCAUGGGAGUGGGUUGCAAAAGAAGUAGGUAGCUUAACCUUCGGGAGGGCGCUUACCACUUUGUGAUUCAUGACUGGGGUGAAGUCGUAACAAGGUAACC